rnacentral:rRNA from 1 species
AUGCAACCUACCUUAAUCAGGGGGAUAGCCCGAAGAAAUUCGGAUUAACACCGCAUAAAAUCACAGUAUAGCAUUAUACAAUGAUCAAAUAUUUAUAGGAUUAAGAUGGGCAUGCGUGACAUUAGUUAGUUGGCGGGGUAACGGCCCACCAAGACUACGAUGUCUAGGGGAUCUGAGAGGAUGACCCCCCACACUGGUACUGAGACACGGACCAGACUCCUACGGGAGGCAGCAGUAAGGAAUAUUGGUCAAUGGAGGCAACUCUGAACCAGCCAUGCCGCGUGCAGGAAGACAGCCCUCUGGGUCGUAAACUGCUUUUAUUCGGGAAUAAACCUAUCUACGUGUAGAUAGCUGAAUGUACCGAAGGAAUAAGGAUCGGCUAACUCCGUGCCAGCAGCCGCGGUAAUACGGAGGAUCCAAGCGUUAUCCGGAUUUAUUGGGUUUAAAGGGUGCGUAGGCGGCUUAUUAAGUCAGGGGUGAAAGACGGUGGCUCAACCAUCGCAGUGCCUUUGAUACUGAUGAGCUUGAAUGUACUAGAGGUAGGCGGAAUGUGACAAGUAGCGGUGAAAUGCAUAGAUAUGUCACAGAACACCGAUUGCGAAGGCAGCUUACUAUGGUAUUAUUGACGCUGAGGCACGAAAGCGUGGGGAUCAAACAGGAUUAGAUACCCUGGUAGUCCACGCCCUAAACGAUGAAUACUCGCUGUUAGCGAUAUACAGUUAGCGGCUAAGCGAAAGCGUUAAGUAUUCCACCUGGGGAGUACGCCCGCAAGGGUGAAACUCAAAGGAAUUGACGGGGGCCCGCACAAGCGGAGGAGCAUGUGGUUUAAUUCGAUGAUACGCGAGGAACCUUACCCGGGC